rnacentral:rRNA from 1 species
GACGAACGCUGGCGGCGUGCUUAACACAUGCAAGUCGAGCGGAAAGGCCCUUCGGGGUCCUCGAGCGGCGAACGGGUGAGUAACGCGUGAGUAACCUGCCCCAGACUUUGGGAUAACCCUCGGAAACGGGGGCUAAUACCGGAUACGACACAGCUUCGCAUGGGGUCUGUGUGGAAAGUUUUUCGGUUUGGGAUGGGCUCGCGGCCUAUCAGCUUGUUGGUGGGGUGAUGGCCUACCAAGGCGACGACGGGUAGCCGGCCUGAGAGGGCGACCGGCCACACUGGGACUGAGACACGGCCCAGACUCCUACGGGAGGCAGCAGUGGGGAAUAUUGCACAAUGGGCGGAAGCCUGAUGCAGCGACGCCGCGUGAGGGAUGACGGCCUUCGGGUUGUAAACCUCUUUCAGCAGGGACGAAGCGUAAGUGACGGUACCUGCAGAAGAAGCGCCGGCCAACUACGUG